AUAAGCGCGCGUCCGAACUGACCGGCAGGGCAUGCCGUGGCAGUUUCGAAUGCUUGCGGAACGGUUCGUCGCCGAUGCCGCAGAUCAACAACAAACGCUCCCGCACCUUGUUGCGACGGCCGGAGAACCGGACUUCGCGAGGAGGGCUUUUUGAUGAAGCGCGCAGGGAGGACAGAAGGAGUAGCAAAA
rnacentral:sRNA from 3 species